UAAUACGGAGGGUGCAAGCGUUAAUCGGAAUUACUGGGCGUAAAGCGCACGCAGGCGGUUUGUUAAGUCAGAUGUGAAAUCCCCGGGCUCAACCUGGGAACUGCAUUUGAAACUGGCAAGCUAGAGUCUCGUAGAGGGGGGUAGAAUUCCAGGUGUAGCGGUGAAAUGCGUAGAGAUCUGGAGGAAUACCGGUGGCGAAGGCGGCCCCCUGGACGAAGACUGACGCUCAGGUGCGAAAGCGUGGGGAGCAAACAGGAUUAGAUACCCUGGUAGUCCACGCUGUAAACGAUGUCGAUUUGGAGGUUGUGCCCUUGAGGCGUGGCUUCCGGAGCUAACGCGUUAAAUCGACCGCCUGGGGAUACGGCCGCAAGGGUU
rnacentral:rRNA from 1 species